CAGCCCGACUGUCAAUAGGAACAUGAACUAGACGGAGCGCCUAAGGAUAUCGAUAGCACAGAGAUGAUAAUCGUCGUUCUGUUUUUAAUAGCUGGUGUUUUUCACCACAAUGGUCUGGCUUCAGAAGUUUCUGAAACUUCAGAGAACUAUGACUGUACUGAAGAAAAGCAAAACCUGAGGCCUCAGUUGUUAAAUGAUUUCACGGGUUGUGAGAAUACAUGGACCGUCGGGAGAACUACCAUAGCCAAAACUAUAAAUGACAGAGCGGAGUGCCACAGACCGUGCAGUGAAGUGACACCCAGCGGAAUCGUUCUCGACUCAUGUGUCAAUAUUACGCUCACUGUUUUUUGUACAAAGGAAUACACCUCGGAAUACCGGAUGCAUUUUAUUGGCAAGAUGAAUAUCCCUCCUCCAUUACAGGAUUCCAAGGGCAGAGCUUGUUAUGGUCUCUUGGCGUGUCCUGCAUUAUUGCUCCCAGUGGCUCUGGGUUGGAUUUUGCAGCGCCGCAGAUCUUCUCUCAAUCAUGAAAGAAGAAACGCUGGUCUGAGCGAAGUUUAAUACAUGCCAACCAACAUUAAUUACACUAUGAAUGUUUAUUUAGAGAUGAAUAUCUAUAAUAAUCUAAAUAAUUCCUAACUUAUGGAUACUUUGUACUGUAAAGUAGCUGUGCAAGUUUACAGAAAUACAGUAUAUAAAAUAACAGAUUUAAU
rnacentral:lncRNA from 1 species